UUGGUAGUUCAAGAAGGUGAACCCAAUGAGAUUGAUGUGAAUCUCAUCACAUCCCUGUGAAAAUAGGAUGCCUGCUCCAGGUGGUAAUUUUAGCCAAUAGAAUUUCAGUGUAUAAAUGGCUGGGCUCUGACGUCAUAGUAGAAGUCUCGUUUCCAGGCAACGUAGGCUGGGCUCUGACGUCAUAGUAGAAGACUCGUUUCCAGGCAACGUAGGCUGGGCUCUGACGUCAUAGUAGAAGACUUGUUUCCAGGCAACGUAGGAUUUCAACCGCUUCACAGCACGGGCAGUGCGGAGCACCCGGAGCCUGGCUGAGGGGGAUGGUCACUCCUAAGGGGUGGCUCUGAAGGGGAUUAAACACAGGGGACAUAUGGCACCAGGACUGCAAUGAGACUGAAAUGAUUGGUGGGUGGAGACAAUCUUGAAGAGGAACGAUCUGCAAAGCGAGCAGCUCUGCCAGCCGCGGACGUGAUGCGCCAGCUUUCUGGAACAUCACCCGGGAGACUGAGGGACGCCCGAGAGCUGCUUGGGGAUUACAGGAAAGCCGUCAGCCGGUGGUCCACCAGAGGACGUGGUUACAAGGAGCUAUGCCCUUGGUAUUGCACGCAGUACACCGCGACAGGCUCACAAGAUGCUGAAGGAAUGCCAAUGUGGAGUUACUGGCUACCGAUGGAGGCAUCAUGAGUUCUGAACACUCAAGAGGGGUCUAAGUCGGAGGAUCUGUAACCUCUGGUUUUCAGUGACAAUACGAUAGUCCCUUGAGUCUCCCCCACAUAAUCUAGGCCUCAGUGGAAACUGGCUUGGAUGUGGUUGUUUGCUCUUUCCUGCUCCCUAUAACUAUAACUCUAAAGACUCAACUAGAAAGAUCACUUCGUGAUGACUCUAUUCUCCAGUCCCCGGUAAAACCAUGGCACUUUCUAGAAGCUGCCCUGGGUUUCCCGCCAUUACUUUUCUGCUAAGAAUACCCAUUUCUUAGGCUCUUAUCAAUAGUAGCUACUAUGAACUGUAUGAAGCUUG